rnacentral:miRNA from 1 species
GGUAACCUCUGCGAUCGUUCGGU